rnacentral:rRNA from 1 species
AGUGAACGCUGGCGGCAGGCCUAAUACAUGCAAGUCGAACGGCAGCACAGCAGAGCUUGCUCUGUGGGUGGCGAGUGGCGGACGGGUGAGGAAUACAUGGGAAUCUGCCCAGUCGUGGGGGAUAACGUAUGGAAACGUACGCUAAUACCGCAUGCGCCCUACGGGGGAAAUCGGGGACCGCAAGGCCUGACGCGAUUGGAUGAGCCCAUGUUCGAUUAGCUAGUUGGCGGGGUAAAGGCCCACCAAGGCGACGAUCGAUAGCUGGUCUGAGAGGAUGAUCAGCCACACUGGAACUGAGACACGGUCCAGACUCCUACGGGAGGCAGCAGUAGGGAAUAUUGGACAAUGGGGGCAACCCUGAUCCAGCCAUGCCGCGUGAGUGAAGAAGGCCCUCGGGUUGUAAAGCUCUUUUGUCCGGAAAGAAAAGCAAUCGGUUAAUACCCGGUU